rnacentral:rRNA from 1 species
GACAGAGGAUGCAAGCGUUAUCCGGAAUGAUUGGGCGUAAAGCGUUUUAAGGUGGUUUGGUAAGUCUACUGUUAAAUAUCAGGGCUUAACCCUGAACAGGCAGUGGAAACUAGCAAGCUUGAGUACGGUAGGGGCAAAGGGAAUUCCCGGUGUAGCGGUGAAAUGCGUAGAUAUCGGGAAGAACGACCAAGGCGAAAGCACUUUGCUGGCCGAAA